rnacentral:rRNA from 1 species
UACGGAGGGGGCUAGCGUUGUUCGGAAUUACUGGGCGUAAAGCGCACGUAGGCGGCUUUGUAAGUUAGAGGUGAAAGCCCAGGGCUUAACCCUGGAAUUGCCUUUAAGACUGCAUCGCUAGAAUCUUGGAGAGGUGAGUGUAAUUCCGAGUGUAGAGGUGAAAUUCGUAGAUAUUCGGAAGAACACCAGUGGCGAAGGCGACUCACUGGACACGUAUUGACGCUGAGGUGCGAAAGCGUGGGGAGCAAACAGG